CAGCAGCCGCGGUAAUACGGAGGGAGCUAGCGUUGUUCGGAAUCACUGGGCGUAAAGCGCACGUAGGCGGCUAUUCAAGUCAGGGGUGAAAGCCCGGGGCUCAACCCCGGAACUGCCUUUGAAACUAGAUAGCUUGGAUCUUGGAGAGGCGAGUGGAAUUCCGAGUGUAGAGGUGAAAUUCGUAGAUAUUCGGAAGAACACCAGUGGCGAAGGCGACUCGCUGGACAAGUAUUGACGCUGAGGUGCGAAAGCGUGGGGAGCAAACAGGAUUAGAUACCCGUGUAGUCCCUGUCUCUUAUAA
rnacentral:rRNA from 1 species